rnacentral:lncRNA from 1 species
AACGGAGACAACAAAGGUUCCAAACGUCUUUGAACUUCAUCAUAUUUUAUUACAUGAUUCAAAUAUGUAUUAAAACAGUAUUUUCAAUUUUUUUGUUUUUUUUUCAAAAUCUAUGUGUUAACCCCUACGAAAAGAGUGAGUUUUCGGUAAAUGCUCUAUAUAUGAAGCCUAUAAUCUUUAAAUUUGUUUUAAAAUUUAAAACCACAUUAUACCUUUGUAUUAAUGUCUGAUAAACUUCUUUUCAUGGUACAUGGACAUCGUUCUAAUUUUUUAUCCAUUAAUUUAGCAAAACUGCAAAUACUCCCUAAAUCAUUAGACUAACCACUAUAAAAUUGCUAUUCCUUAGAGAAACGAAGACAACAAAGGUUCCAAACCUCUUUGAACUUCAUCAUAUUUUAUUACAUGAUUCAAAUAUGUAUUAAAACAGUAUUGUCAAAUUUUUUGAAUUUUUCUCAAAAUCUAUGUGUACCCCCCUACAAAAAUAGUGAGUUUUCGGUAAAUACUCAAUAUAUGAAGCCUAUAAUUUUUAAAUUUGUUUUAAAAUUUAAAACCACAUUAUACCUUUGUAUUAAUGUAUGAUAAACUUCUUUUCAUGGUACAUGGACAUCGUUCUAAUUUUUUAUCCAUUAAUUUAGUAAAACUGCAAAUACUCCCUAAAUCAUUAGACUAACCACUAUAAAAUUGCCAUUCCUUAGAGAAACGGAGACAACAAAGGUUCCAAACGUCUUUGAACUUCAUCAUAUUUUAUUACAUGAUUCAACUAUGCAUUAAAACAGUAUUUUCAAUUUUUUUGAUUUUUUUUCAAAAUAUAUGUGUUAACCCCUACGAAAAGAGUGAGUUUUCGGUAAAUGCUCUAUAUAUGAAGCCUAUAAUCUUUAAAUUUGUUUUAAAAUUUAAAACCACAUUAUACCUUUGUAUUAAUGUAUGAUAAACUUCUUUUCAUGGUACAUGGACAUCGUUCUAAUUUUUUAUCCAUUAAUUUAGCAAAACUGCAAAUACUCCCUAAAUCAUUAGACUAACCACUAUAAAAUUGUCAUUCCUUAGAGAAACGGAGACAAAAAAAGUUCCAAACGUCUUUGAACUUCAUCAUAUUUUAUUACAUGAUUCAAAUAUGUAUUAAAACAGUAUUUUCAAUUUUUUUGAUUUUUUUUCAAAAUCUAUGUGUUAACCCCUACGAAAAGAGUGAGUUUUCGGUAAAUGCUCUAUAUAUGAAGCCUAUAAUCUUUAAAUUUUUUUUAAAAUUUAAAACCACAUUAUACCUUUGUAUUAAUGUAUGAUAAACUUCUUUUCAUGGUACAUGGACAUCGUUCUAAUUUUUUAUCCAUUAAUUUAGUAAAACUGCAAAUACUCCCUAAAUCAUUAGACUAACCACUAUAAAAUUGUCAUUCCUUAGAGAAACGGAGACAACAAAAGUUCCAAACGUCUUUGAACUUCAUCAUAUUUUAUUACAUGAUUCAAAUAUGUAUUAAAACAGAAUUUUCAAUUUUUUUGAUUUUUUUUUCAAAAUCUAUGUGUUAACCCCUACGAAAAUAGUGAGUUUUCGUUAAAUACUCUAUAUAUGAAGCCUAUAAUAUUUAAAUUUGUUUUAAAAUUUAAAACCACAUUAUACCUUUGUAUUAAUGUCUGAUAAACUUUUUUUCAUGGUACAUGGACAUCGUUCUAAUGUUUUAUCCAUUAAUUUAGCAAAACUGAAAAUACUCCCUAAAUCAUUAGACUAACAACUAUAAAAUUGCUAUUCCCUAGAGAAACGGAGACAACAAAGGUUCCAAACCUCUUUGAACUUCAUCAUAUAUUAUUACAUGAUUCAUAUAUGUAUUAAAACAGUAUUGUCAAAUUUGUUGAAUUUUUCUCAAAAUCUAUGUGUACCCCUACGAAAAUAGUGAGUUUUCGGUAAAUGCUCUAUAUAUGAAGCCUAUAAUCCUUAAAUUUGUUUUAAAAUUUAAAACCACAUUAUACCUUUGUCUUAACGUAUGAUGAACUUCUUUUCAUGGUACAUGGACAUAGUUUUAAUUUUUUAUCCAUUAAUUUAGCAAAACUGCAAAUACUCCCUAAAUCAUUAGACUAACCACUAUAAAAUUGCUAUUCCCUAGAGAAACGGAGACAACAAAGGUUCCAAAUCUCUUUGAACUUCAUCAUAUAUUAUUACAUGAUUCAUAUAUAUAUUAAAACAGUAUUGUCAAAUUUUUUGAAUUUUUCUCAAAAUCUGUGUGUACCCCCCUACGAAAAUAGUGAGGUUUCGUUAAUGCUCUAUAUAUGAAGCUUAUAAUCUUUAAAUUUGUUUUAAAAUUUAAAACCACAUUAUUCCUUUGUAUUAAUAUCUGAUAAACUUCUUUUCAUGGUACAUGGACAUCGUUCUAAUUUUUUACCAAUUAAUUUAGCAAAACUGCAAAUACUCCCUAAAUCAUUGGACUAAUCACUAUAAAAUUGCUAUUCCCUAGAAAAACGGAGACAACAAAGGUUCCAAACCUCUUUGAAAUUCAUCAUAUGUUAUUACAUGAUUCAACUAUGCAUUAAAACAGUAUUGUCAAUUUUUUUGAAUUUUUCUCAAAAUUUAUGUGUACCCCCCUACGAAAAUAGUGAGUUUUCGGUAAAUGCUCUAUAUAUGGAGCCUAUAAUCUUUAAAUUUGUUGUAAACUUUAAAACCACAUUAUACCUUUGUCUUCACGUAUGAUAAACUUCUUUUCAUGGUACAUGGACAUAGUUCUAAUUUUUUAUCCAUUAAUUUAGCAAAACUGCAAAUACUCCCUAAAUCAUUAGACUAACCACUAUAAAAUUGUUAUUCCUUAGAGAAACGGAGACAACAAAGGUUCCAAACGUCUUUGAACUUCAUCAUAUUUUAUUACAUGAUUCAAAUAUGUAUUAAAACAGUAUUUUCAAUUUUUUUGAUUUUUUUUCAAAAUCUAUGUGUUAACCCCUACGAAAAGAGUGAGUUUUCGGUAAAUGCUAUAUAUAUGAAGCCUAUAAUCCUUAAUUUUGUUUUAAAAUUUAAAACCACAUUAUACCUUUGUAUUAAUGUCUGAUAAACUUCUUUUCAUGGUACAUGGACAUCGUUCUAAUUUUUUAUCCAUUAAUUUAGCAAAACUGCAAAUACUCCCUAAAUCAUU